rnacentral:misc_RNA from 1 species
CAUCUCAUAGACAUACUUAGCAGGUACUGCGAUGGCCUCAGCAAAAGUACCACUGCGUUGGAAAGCAACAACCCGAUCUCCAACCUUGGAUAAUAUUGACAAGAUAUGUUGCCUUCACAUUGAACCCCCCCCAAAAUCGGAGACAGCACAGACUUAACUGUUUGCUUAAAUUUCUACGCAAACCCUUCCCUAACUCAGCAUGAUUGGAACGUAUUGCAAUUCUGUAUCAAGUGCUCUUGCAGUCUACCAUUGUUGGUUGAUUUUGAAGUCAAUGUGGGUGUUAAACAUUGUUCACAGAGGUUGUAUUGCAGUGACUCUGUUAUACACUAGUAAUCAGGUCUCUUUGAAAAAAUUCUGGGGUGUUAAAUUUGAGAAGUAUUGUAAAUUCAGCUGAAAAUGUGGUCCGACUAAAAGGAUGUUACUCGAAAAAUCACUCAGGAGUUAAGAUGAUAUCAGAGGUGUUUGAUGGGCAAAAGUUUACAGAGACACUAAUAGAUGUGCAUACAGUACAUGUACUUUACUUAAUUACGGUAUAUUGUGAUAGGAAAUUCCAAUAAUAAAGCAAUAGUAGGAAUAUAAUACAACAGUUUGGUGCAUAAAAUGACAGAGUUGUGUAAUGUUCCUGUUGCAAGAUGUCAUAACACAAGUGAUGAAUGCAUGCAUUAUUUACAUGUACAUGUAUGCAUACCGUACUUGAUUACAAUGUGCGAAAUGGUUACUCGUCUAUCUCAUCUGGAGUUAUCUCCGACAAUCAUUUGUUUUUCUACUAAGGAUUAUUUGUACAUACAUGUAUGCUAUCUGUGCACCCACCAAUCUCCCACUUCACCCAGGUCCUCGUGCAUGUACACAUACAUGCUCAGAGGUCAGUAGCUGUGCCAAGAUGAUAAUCACUCCAGUGAGAAUGGUUGCCAUGUCAACAAGAGGAGUGAUCUCUCUAUAGUAGUGGCACAUUAGAAUAAUGUGACAUUUACAAGAAGAAAACCCCAUCUGCAUGGAUGGGAUGUUUGUGUUAAUUUUCACAGAGAUUUUAAGAGAGAUCGAAGGAGCUCAUUAUGAGGUCAGUAGUGUUUGUCAAAAUAUGAAGCAUUGUACACAGUGCUCGUCUCCCAGUUCAAUGGAACAGCGCACAACAACCUCUUUGUUUUUGUUUUGUCUGCUUUGCAUUAACUUUUAGAUUGCACUUUAUUUCUGAGUGCCAUAUUGUGGCUGUUUAAUGAACAUUUCCCCGGAUAAAAUGAGAAAAUAGUUAGUUUUAACUGAGAAAAGUGACAAUCAUCUACCAGUCUACAGUGUACGUGUAGAUGUUGUAAACACCUGUAAUCGGUUGCAGUGUCUAGAUUGGUUCAUUCUUACAUAACACAGACAUGCUUACAUCUUAUACAUAAAAGUCAUUGUAAAAUUACUCAGUGACCUUUAUUUGCACUGUUCUGUCAGACUCUACACUUUGUUAUAGGACAUCUCUUUAAUCAUCCUAAUGGUGCAUGUGUACAUGUUCGUAGUCAGCUAUAUGCCGCAUGAAUCUUCAACAUCAAAUACUGUAAUAUAGACUAUAGUUGCUGGUGGCUGUUUCUGUCACAAUGUAAUAAAGAUUUAUGAUGUUACAAAGUGUAGGAUUUCCCGGUAGAUUCCAGGGUCCUCCAAAGAAUCUAAAUGUACAUACAUAAAUCCCAAAGUGCCAGUCUGCAGUUUGCUCUUAAAAGAUUACCCAUUUAAUGUAUAUAAAAUUUACUGUUCAUUAUUCUAUAUUAUGCACAGUACUGUUCAAGCAUAGAUUUUCUGUAGUUUAGAGCUUGUUUUGAACAAGCAUGACAACUCAGUGACGAGUAACCUACAUGUAUGAGCUAAUCAAUUAUUGAUAAGUGGGUUGGCAGAUUUUCUGCUCUGUCAUGGAUGUUUUAUUUAUUUGUUAGAAUAGUAGACUCAUAGGUAUUUGUUGUGUACGUACAUGUACGUGUGGCAUGAUGGAUAGGCGAGCUGAAUACAUGGUUACAUCUGCACUGUAUAUAGGUAAUUCAAGGGGGUUUGGUCAUUUCAGUAGACAAGUCAGUUAUGCAGUGCUUCGUAAGUUGGUUGGUCAGGUGGAUAUAACUCUUAUUUGAUGAAUGUUUGAAGGAUCAUUUGUUUGCUGGGUGUGUGUAAUGGUCAGUGUUGACAGUGCUACAUGUGUAUAAAUUUCGUUGAAACAUGGCAAAGUAAUAUUUAUUGUUUUGUGGUUGUUGCUUGAAUUCUUGGUUUGUGAAAUAUCUUAUUUCACUUUGGAUUGAACUGGUUCUCCUGUCUGUUAGUUCUCGAGUCUACUUGCAUGCCUGCAGAUGUGAUUGCAGAUUUGAUGCACUUUGAACUUUAUCUGCCGUUGAACUGUCAAGCAUGAAUUGUUUUGGGACUUUUAAUGGGUGGAGUGACAAGCUUAAGAUUGGAUAUGUCACGGAUGAGUGAUGAAGAUAAAAAUUGUUACUGGUACAGAUAUCUACAUGUAGGCAUGCACGUUUAGUUAACUUGUGAUGGACCUCUCCUCGUCCGAGGUUUUGCAUCAGUGCAUGUCCAGGUCAUGGUGUAUCCACAAACCCUCUACCUUAUCGUAUUCCACCAUGCAAACCUUCUAGAGCUACUUGAAUCUAAGUUAGUUUUCUGGUAUACUUUUGUAAACAAAUACAUGUAGCUCGCAAAUACAUGUAACAGGCACAGAUGCAAAAAUUAAUUAUUAAUUUUCUUAAAUGGGUGAGCAAGCAAAUUGAUGUUUUAAUACGGGCAAUUUACAAUAGUGCGCCUCCAAGAGUUUGUAACGCGUUGACCAAUCACAUGGUGCAGUAUCUGUCCACUGUUUUUCAACACGCAUGGGGUUGACAGAUUUCGCGCACUGUGAUUGGUCAUCGCAUUGCCAACUCUUGGAGCUGCACUAUUGUGAAAUGCCCGUAUUAACAAGUUUUUAAUAUUUUGAAGGCAUGUAUUUCCAAAAAAUAAGAAGAAAGACCAAAAAUGUGUUGAUUGAAUAUGGGUAUUAACAUUUGUAUGGACUUUUAUUAAUUGAAACCACAAUACUAGAAAGCCAAAGAUUUGAAAGAAUUUCUUUGCACAUACAUUGUGUAAGAUGAUGUCCAAUGUACAUGUAUUGGGUGCAUUGUUGGUCAACCUAAAGAAAUGUUCAUUGAUAUCACUACAGCCCAGCUUUCGUUAGUGAAACCAGAUUCCAUCUGACUGAUAGGUUUCAUCUGGCUGAUACUUGUAGGUUUUAUUUUGUAAAUAACAGAUUUUUGCUCAGUGUGCUCUUAGAAGUUCCUCUACAGGUUCUACAUCUCUCAGUUGACAUUUGUAAUUGUAGGAGUCAUCUAAUCUGGAUUAUUGUCUUGGUGCACUCCGUCCGCAAAUCCUCAAAUCAAAACAAGUUUCAAGUCAUGUGGAAAAGAAAUGGCUAAUAACUCACGUUGCCACUAACAUUGCGUCACUAGAGAGGGCAUAAUGAAGUUCGGACUGUAAACCUUCUAGUGUAGCCUCUCGACCAUAUGGUGAGCUUUUUUACUCUACAUAUAUCAUGCCAAAAGUCAUGUACAUGUACCAAUAUCAGAUUUCAUUGUGACUCUUUUGUUUUACUUUGGGAAUUCUGUAUACGUUUUAUAAGUCUUCAGAAGUUUGGAUUGAGAUGUUUCAUUACCAAGACCAUUGUCAUGGUGCUCAUUUACAGAGUUGAUGGUGUUUUUUUCACAUAUAUUAAAUGAAAAAAGAGUUCCAGAAAUAAGAUGAGCACAUCGCAAGGCAGUAAUAAGUAUUGGGAGUCUAAACCGAAGCAACUGCUAGCCAUAAUUGAUUAAUUCUGUGGAAUUAAUCAGCAAAAAGGAACGACUACACGUGGCAGAGUUCAUGUGGCUCAUACAUGUACAAGUAAAUAACAUCAAUUAGCCUUGUAAUGGAAAUUUUAAUCUGUGCGACGCUGGUCUUCACUGUAUACCUACAGCGUAAACACUCAGAAUGCCAAUCCCUAUUAUAAGACAGAAGUUUACCUCGUAUGUCUGUCAGAACAUGUCAUAAUUGAAUUUACCAACCUAACAAAUUAAGCUCAUUGAGAGUUGUGUAUAUACAGGUAGCUAUUAUACUCGUAUAGAUUCCAGGGUGCAAGGCAGAAUGUUAGUCAAACAUUAAGAGCACUCUUUAAAAUAGAGCCUUUAGAUUUCAGGCAAAAAAGGGAUUGGUGGUGAAAUGAGGUCGCAGGUGCUCUGUAUUAGAAGAAAUGCAGUUCAUAAAAAUGGUUCAUGUAAAAUUAACCUCUCAGCACUGUUUGGCAAUCAGGUUAUCCUUCCAAACCGCCAGCAGUGAUUUAAAGAGCACCUCUAAGGAAAACAUGUUUUCUCUGAUUUUAUCUGUUCAAAUAAAUAUGGAAGCAUCCA